CCAUUAGAAAAUUUUUCCUCUUCUUUACAAAAGGGGGGAGCAACUAGGUCAACCCCGGGGGUAAGAUGUGGCGAGGAAGAGUUUUCAGGGGCCAUUUUGAGCAAUUCAAACUAUUUUUUAAAAUUGCUUUCAUGGAGUAUAAAUAUUAAAAAAAAUAAAAAUAUAUAAAUAUAAAUAUAAAAAUAAACAAAGGACGCUCGUUUUAAUCUUCUCAUUUGAAACAUCAGAAAAGGUGAGAAGAAUGGCUAAUUAUAGUUCUCUAGCACAGAGCGGGCACUCCGUUUAUUCUGGACCAUGGACACACCAUGCUCCAGCUAGAAUCUUCUCCGGAGAUGAACUUUAGCUGCUAUACUCAAAACGAUCGGCGCUAAUUGGCCAAUCGGAAAAAUGGGCAUACAAACCCAGACCACAGAAUGUAUUCCUAUUACAAAGUUCUUUUUAAAAAAUGAAGCAAUAUUCUAAUCCAAAGCAAAUGAAACGAUUUUGGCUACCCAUUACAUGCGGUAUUUGCCAGGAAUGGUGACCACCAAAGUUAGUACCUUGAAUUGCUGUAAUGCCUUCUUUCCGCGAAGAUCCAAGCUCUUCCCCAAAAUAAUCUCACUGAUCUGCACAAUCCCCCUGCAGAAUGCACGAGGAACACGUUUUACCAAGUGGAAAACCAAAGGACAGAGAGCCAAAGAUUUAUCUAGGAAUACGAUGGAUGGAUGUAGUGCAAAAGUCAGGGCUGAGCUCCCGGGCUCCCUUCAAGGUCGCCUCUCACGCCCUGGCCUCCUCCGCACUCGUUUGGACGGAGUUGCCUCCUACAGCACGCCAGAUCUGCCCCAGUCUGUUUUAGGGGGCGGGAUUUCGGGGGAACCUUUGCACGCGAUGUUGCCUUGUUUUCACUUAUUCCAGGAGGUCACUUUGUGGUUUCUAAGUUCCAUGAUUCUAUCACCAUCACAGCACCAGCAACUGAUUGUGUGGCAAGGAGGAUAGAGUGCUGAACCUAAAGUCAGAAAGAACUAAAGUUGAAUCCUGUCUUCAACACUUCCUGGCUGAGUGACUAUGAAGAAGAAACUUCUCUCAUCUAUAACGUUUCCUCACCUGCAAAACAGACAAUAAUACCUAUAGAAAUUACCUCACAAGGUAAUUGCAACUCAUGUGAUAUGAUUUCAGACUUCAAAACACUGUAGAAAUGCUGGUUAUCAUAAUAAAUAAUUUAUAAUAUUUAAUAUCUUAAUAUAC
rnacentral:lncRNA from 1 species